AACGCGAAGAACCUUACCAGGUCUUGACAUCCUCUUGCAAGCGUCCUAGCCGACGCCCUCCUUCGGGACAAGAGAGACAGGUGGUGCAUGGUUGUCGUCAGCUCGUGUCGUGAGAUGUUGGGUUAAGUCCCGCAACGAGCGCAACCCUUGUGCUUAGUUGCCACCAGGUUAAGCUGGGCACUCUAAACAGACUGCCGGGGAUAACCCGGAGGAAGGUGGGGAUGACGUCAAAUCAUCAUGCCCCUUAUGUUCUGGGCUACACACCUGUUACAAUGGGGGGUACAACGGGCAGCGAAAGCGGGGUCGGGAGGGUAUCCCCAAAAACCGAUCUCAGUUCGGAUUGCAGUCUGCAACUCGCGUGCAUGAAGUGGAAUCGCUAGUAAUCGCGAUCAGCAUGCGCGG
rnacentral:rRNA from 1 species